rnacentral:rRNA from 1 species
AUACGUAGGUGACAAGCGUUAUCCGGAUUUACUGGGCGUAAAGGGCGUGUAGGCGGUCUUGCAAGUCAGAAGUGAAAUUCCUGAGCUCAACUCGGGCGCUGCUUCUGAAACUGCAGGACUUGAGUGCUGGAGGGGAUAGCGGAAUUCCUAGUGGAGCGGUAAAAUGCGCAGAUAUUAGGAAGAACACCGGUGGCGAAGGCGGCUAUCUGGUCAGUAACUGGCGCUGAGGCGCGAAAGCGUGGGGAGCAAACAGGAUUGUAUACCCUGGUAGUCCACGCUGUAAACGAUGAAUACUAGGUGUAGGGGGUAUCGACUCCCUCUGUGCCGCAGUUAACACAAUAAGUAUUCCGCCUGGGGAGUACGGCCGCAAGGUUGAAACUCAAAGGAAUUGGCGGGG